GACGAACCGUGCGAACGUUGUUCGGAAUCACUGGCUUAAAGGGCGCGUAGGCGGCCGGGUUGGUCGUGGGUGAAAUCCCCCAGCUUAACUGGGGAAUUGCCUACGAUACUGCCUGGCUCGAGGAGGAAGGGGCGGCCGGAACUGUCGGUGGAGCGGUGAAAUGCGUUGAGAUCGACAGGAACGCCGGUGGCGAAAGCGGGCCGCUGGCCCUCUUCUGACCGCUGAGGCGCGAAAGCCAGGGGAGCGAACGGG
rnacentral:rRNA from 1 species